rnacentral:rRNA from 1 species
GCUGCCGCAGUCGCGCAACCUCUGCAAUCCGCGAAAGCGUGACAGGGCUACCCCGAGUGCCGUCCGCUGCGGCUGGCUUUUCUCCGGUGUAGUAAGCCGGAGGAAUAAGGAGAGGGCAAGUCUGGUGUCAGCCGCCGCGGUAAUACCAGCUCUCCGAGUGGUAGGGACGUUUAUUGGGCCUAAAGCGUCCGUAUCCGGCCAAGCAAGUUUCCCGUUAAAUCCAGCGAUCCAAUCGUUGGACUGCGGGAAAUACUGUUUGGCUAGGAGGCGAGAGAGGCCAACGGUAUUCCCGGAGUAGGGGUGAAAUCUCAUAAUCCCGGGAGGACCACCAGUGGCGAAGGCUGUUGGCUAGAACGCGCUCGACGGUGAGGGACGAAAGCUGGGGGAGCGAACCGGAUUAGGUACCCGGGUAGUCC